GUGUACAUGACCUAAUCUUGACCUUAAGGACAGUGACCCCCAAAACGUCGACCUUUCCACCAGUAUACACGAUGAUGACCCUUUCUUACAUUGCUCUUUUGGACCAGCGGAGGCUCCGGGCUGCCGCGAGGAGGUCCCUGUUCAUAGGUCAGGGACAGUUUCACGAUGAUGACCCUUUCUUACAUUGCUCUUUUGGACCAGCGGAGGCUCCAGGCUGCCGCAAGGAGGUCCCUGUUCAUAGGUCAGGGACAGUUUGUGAAAAAGAGCGAUGGAUCUCUCAGCUUUAACAAACCUGCAUCAGGUUGACUCGCUGCCGAGGAAAGUAUUUCUUCAAGCUUGACAGAGCUGGAAUAAUGCCCUGUGCUGAGUGUGUGUGUGUGUGUGUGUGUGUGUGUGUGUGUGUGUGUGUGUGUGUGUGUGUGUGCAGCUUCCAGGAAAUGUAAGCUUGGCCUGCUGUAUAGACUCGUGUAGAAGUCAAGCUGAAAAACUACAGUUGUGUUGGUUAAUAGUUGGUUAAUAGUUAGUUAAUAGCCCAUAGGAGUGUGACGUCCAUGGAAAAUUUGACCCAACAGGAAUGAGUUUAAAGUUUUGGGUUUUGCACGAAUAUAUGAGGCAGAUAAAUAUAGACUCGUGUAAAGGUCAAGCUAAAAACUAUGGAUAUGUUGGUUAAAUGAUACAGACCAGCCCCUGAAAGUGUGGCGUCCAUGGAAAAUUUGGCCCUACCGGAGUGGUUUCAAAGUGUUGGCUUUUGCAUGAACAUACGAGGCAGAUAAAUUUAGACUCGUGUAAAAGUCAAGCUAAAAAGAACAUGGAUAUAUUGGUUGAAAAGUGCAGACCAGCCCCUGAGAGUGUGGCGUCCAUGGAAAAUUUGGCCCUACCGGAGUGGUUUCAAAGUGUUGGCUUUUGCAUGAACAUAUGAGGCAGAUAAAUUUAGACUCGUGUAAAAGUCAAGCUAAAAAAAUAUGGAUAUGUUGGUUGAAAAAUGCACGGAAAAUUUGACCCUACAGGAGUGGUUUCAAAGUGUUGGCUUUUGCAUGAAUAUACGAGGCAAAUAAACCAUGUAUUAUCAACAGUUUUAUCAACUUCUUACUUCUAUACCGUAUGUAAACUAUGUAAACUAAGAAUUCAUGUGUGUGUGUGUGUGUGAGUGUGUGUGUGUGUGCCUCAACAUUCCCGGUAGCCAGCCCAGUGCUCGCUACCGCUGGGUCAGGGCUGGCGGUGACGGGUGAGUGGUCGGGUUAGGUUAGCGUAAAGUCCUAGGCUUGUGCUGUGUGUAGAGAACCUAUUGAUUUGUGUUCCUAACCUGUCAACUUCACCAUAUAAUACAUACGUAGUGGGAUAUAUAUAUUAGAGGUGAUUUCUGUACCAUCAAACUAUUGUAUUUUCCUGCAGUGAUAUAUUUUAGCGCCCCAAUUAGUGAUUUAAACUCCUUCCUAACAUUUUAUAUUUUGAACAUUUUUGAGUUCUUGCAGGUUGCUAGUAGGGUCUAAAGGUCAUCCUCUAUGCCCUGACCUUUCUGUUUUUAUUGUGUUUCCUUACGACAGUCUUGUAUAAAUCCUUGACGACCCAACCUUUAAUUUUCUAUAAUGUUUGUAUUUUGAACACUUGAGUUUUCGCAGGUCACUAGUAAGGUCUAAAGGUCAUCCUCUAUGCCCUGACCUUUCUGUUUUUAUUGUGUUUCCUUACGACAGUCUUGUAUAAAUCCUUGACGACCCGACUUUUAAAUUUCUAUAAUGUUUGUAUUUUGAACACUUUUGAGUUUUUGCAGGUCACUAGUAAGGUCUAAAGGUCAUGCUCUAUGCCCUGACCUCUCUGUUUUUAUUGUGUUUCUUUAUGACAGUCUUGUAUAAAUCCUUGACGACGCGACCUUUAAAUUUCUAUAAUGUUUGUAUUUUGAACACUUUUGAGUUUUUGCAGGUCACUAGUAGGGUCUAAAGGUCAUCCUCUGUGCCCUGACCUUUCUGUUUUUAUUGUGUUGCCUUACGACAGUCUUUUAUAAAUCCUUGACGACCCGACCUUUAAAUUUCCAUAAUGUUCCUGCGCUGGAAAUGUCCUCCUUCACAUUCUAUAAUUUGAACACUUUUGAGUUCCUGCAGGUCACUAGUAAGGUCUAAAGGUCAUCCUCUAUGCCCUGACCUCCCGUUUUAUUGUGUUUCCCUACGACAGUCUUGUAUAAAUCCUUGACGACCCGACCUUUAAAUUCCUACAAUGUUUCUGCGCUGGAAAUGUCAGUUUGUCACAUUUCUUAACAUUCCUCAUAUUUUUAUAAGAUCAUGGAACUGGUGGCUGGCAUGGUUUUCCUUAAUGACGAGAGUAGUUCACAUAUACACCUAUCCGACAUGUACAUUCCAUAUAUAUCUUGUACAAACAGCUUCCUGUGUCACAGAUGUUGCUGUCACCUCACAUAUGCACUCCUUCUGACACAAUCCACUGGGCCAGCCUCUCUCUGCAACGCUGGGUGUGUGUAUAUACAGGCUAUGUGUGUGUGUGUGUGUGUGUGAUGCUGUGAAGGUGUACCACUGUGAGCAUGUGUCUGGGGUAGCAGGUAGGAUAUGUAGGGUGUGUGUGUGUGUGUGUCUGUGUAUAGGUCUGUAAUGGGUAUCCUGCCUCCUCUUGGCACUUCAGCAAGAUUGGAUGACCCCCCCCCCUCCCCACCUGCUGUUUGGCACUCCCUCAGCAAGCACAAACAUUGGGUGAUCCUCUCAUUUGGCAUUCCCUGAGCAAGCAUUUCCCUCAGCAAUCAUUUCCCUGAGCAAGCAUUUCCCUCAGCAAUCAUUAUUUACCAGCACAAACAGUGGACGAUCCCCCCAGUUGUCAUUUCCUCAGCAAUCAUUUCCCUGAGCAAGCAUUUCCCUCAGCAAUCAUUAUUUACCAGCACAAACAGUGAACAGUCCCCCCAUUUGUCAUUUCCUCAGCAAGCAUUUCCUUCAGCAAGCAUUUCCUUCAGCAAGCAUUUCCCUCAGCAAGCAUUUCCCUCAGCAAGCAUUUCCCCCUGCAAACAUUUCCCUCAGCAAGCAUUUCCCUCAGCAAGCAUUUCCCUCAGCAAGCAUUUCCCUCUGCAAACAUUUCCCUCAGCAAGCAUUUCCCUCAGCAAGCAUUUCCCUCAGCAAGCAUUUCCCUCAGCAAGCAUUUCCCUCAGCAAGCAUUAAUUACCAUCACAAACAUUGGACGCUCCCACCCCCUUUGGCGCUCCCUCAGCAAGAUUCUUUACUUCCCAGCACAACACAACUCACUUCCCUUCUCAUCUCAAUAGUGACGUUUCGUACUCCUAUGGUUUAUUUUUGUAAUGCAAGUGUUAUAUUUAGUCAUGCUCGGAUUUCAAGGUUGUCAUCGCCAGCAUUGCCAGAUUAUCAUAUUCACCACAUUGUAUACAUCAUUUUUAAGCCUCAAACUCUCGUACCAACACAAAUAACAGAAGAACAUUAAAGUCAGCGUUAAAACUUUUAUUUAGUGAUGUUUGUUUGUUUUUGCGAUAGAUAUCAGUCAGAAACUACAAAAAUACCUUGUCAUAAUCUUUCUAAUGCUCUCAGUUACGAUGUUUUGCUCCAAGUUUAUCCAUUCACAGUCAUUCGUAUAAGUCAUGGAAACCCGAAUGGUAGAAAUUUUAGCAAGAAAAAAUAGAACUAAUAUGCAAUAAGGUGUGUAGGACAGUUUGGCAUUGCUGGUCGCCGCUAGCAGAAGGCCGUGUGUCGCAGUGUUACGUCAGUUCUUCAGGACGCACAGAGACAAUACAUGAAUAAACUACUUAUUUAUA